rnacentral:misc_RNA from 1 species
CGACGGACAAAGUUAUCAGCAC